UCGAACCCAUUUUGGUCGCAUGUUAGUUAGUUAUUUCGUGAUUUCCAAGUUAUAAUGAAGACAGCACGAAACCAGCCAGUGCCAAGCAGGAGCUGUUGUAAUGCAUGCAGUCAAGUAACCGUACCAUAUGUUUUUUUCCCGCUUUCUGACCACGUUUGAUAAGCCAAACACUGUUUCACUGGAUAACUCUUGGAGGAGGAUGAGAAGACGCUGCAACAACAAAUACAGAAUACUACAACACUGCUCAAGGUUGGGAUGUCAGCGGGACGUGCCUUCACCUGUUGUUGCAGGUUGCAGCAAUGGACAUUUUCUGUUUGGGAUUCCCGCUAUGAAAAAGAAGAUAACUGAAAUCAGGAUUUCACCCAUAUCGAGACAACAAUAAAUGGACUCCAGAUGUCAGACCUACUGCUUCUUCCUAUAAGUCUGAUUUAUGUAAUGUUACUGAAAGAGUUUCCAAUUCAAGCCUUAUUAGUCAUCAGCCUAACACAGAA